GCUGGCGGCGUGCCUAACACAUGCAAGUCGAACGCGAAAGCCCCGCAAGGGGUAAGUAGAGUGGCAAACGGGUGAGUAACACGUGGGUGACCUGCCUCAGAGUGGGGGAUAACGACCCGAAAGGGUCGCUAAUACCGCAUAACAUCCUGCUUUUGGAUAAGUGGAGAUCAAAGCCGGGGAUCGCAAGACCUGGCGCUUAGAGAGGGGCCCGCGGCCGAUUAGCUAGUUGGUGAGGUAACGGCUCACCAAGGCAACGAUCGGUAUCCGGCCUGAGAGGGCGGACGGACACACUGGGACUGAGACACGGCCCAGACUCCUACGGGAGGCAGCAGUGGGGAAUUGUUCGCAAUGGGCGCAAGCCUGACGACGCAACGCCGCGUGGAGGACGAAGAUCUUCGGGUCGUAAACUCCUUUCGAUCGGGAAGAACGUUUUCGGGGUGAAUAAUCCCGAGAAGUGACGG
rnacentral:rRNA from 1 species